rnacentral:rRNA from 1 species
GACGAACGCUGGCGGCGCGCCUAACACAUGCAAGUCGAACGAGCGAGAGGAGGUUUCCUUUCUCAAGCGAGUGGCGAACGGGUGAGUAACGCGUGAGUAACCUGCCUCAAAGAUUGGGACAACAUUUGGAAACUACUGCUAAUACCGCAUAAGCCCACGACCCGGCUUCGGGUAGAUGGAAAAGGAGCAAUCCGCUUUGAGAUGGCCUCGCUUCCGAUUAGCUAGUUGGUGAGGUAAUGGCCCACCAAGGCGACGAUCGGUAGCCGGACUGAGAGGUUGAAAGGCCACAUUGGGAAUGAGACACGGACCAGACUCCGACGGGAAGGAGCAGUAGGGAAUAUUGCACGAGGGGGGAAAACCUGAUGCAGCGACGCCGCGUGGAGGAAGAAGGUCUUCGGAUUGUAAACUCCUGUGGUAGAGGAAGAUAAUGACGGUACUCAAAAAGGAAGUGACGGCUAACUACGUG